rnacentral:rRNA from 1 species
UACAGAGGUCCCGAGCGUUGUUCGGAUUCACUGGGCGUAAAGGGUGCGUAGGUGGCUUGAAAAGUUUGAUGUGAAAGCUCAGGGCUUAACCCUGAAAUGGCAUUGAAUACUGUCGGGCUGGAGGUUUGGAGGGGGGGACUGGAAUUCUUGGUGUAGCAGUGAAAUGCGUAGAUAUCAAGAGGAACACCAGUGGCGAAGGCGAGUCCCUGGACAACACCUGACACUGAGGCACGAAAGCUAGGGGAGCAAACAGG